rnacentral:rRNA from 1 species
CGGCGGACGGGUGAGUAACACGUGGAUAACCUACCUAUAAGACUGGGAUAACUUCGGGAAACCGGAGCUAAUACCGGAUAAUAUAUUGAACCGCAUGGUUCAAUGGUGAAAGACGGUUUUGCUGUCACUUAUAGAUGGAUCCGCGCCGCAUUAGCUAGUUGGUAAGGUAACGGCUUACCAAGGCAACGAUGCGUAGCCGACCUGAGAGGGNGAUCGGCCACACUGGAACUGAGACACGGUCCAGACUCCUACGGGAGGCAGCAGC